CAUAGGUUAAUGAGGCGAACCGGGGGAACUGAAACAUCUAAGUACCCCGAGGAAAAGAAAUCAACCGAGAUUCCCCCAGUAGCGGCGAGCGAACGGGGAGGAGCCCAGAGCCUGAAUCAGUGUGUGUGUUAGUGGAAGCGUCUGGAAAGGCGCGCGAUACAGGGUGACAGCCCCGUACACAAAAAUGCACAUGCUGUGAGCUCGAUGAGUAGGGCGGGACACGUGGUAUCCUGUCUGAAUAUGGGGGGACCAUCCUCCAAGGCUAAAUACUCCUGACUGACCGAUAGUGAACCAGUACCGUGAGGGAAAGGCGAAAAGAACCCCGGCGAGGGGAGUGAAAAAGAACCUGAAACCGUGUACGUACAAGCAGUGGGAGCCUCUUAAUGGGGUGACUGCGUACCUUUUGUAUAAUGGGUCAGCGACUUAUAUUCUGUAGCAAGGUUAACCGAAUAGGGGAGCCGAAGGGAAACCGAGUCUUAACUGGGCGUUAAGUUGCAGGGUAUAGACCCGAAACCCGGUGAUCUAGCCAUGGGCAGGUUGAAGGUUGGGUAACACUAACUGGAGGACCGAACCGACUAAUGUUGAAAAAUUAGCGGAUGACUUGUGGCUGGGGGUGAAAGGCCAAUCAAACCGGGAGAUAGCUGGUUCUCCCCGAAAGCUAUUUAGGUAGCGCCUCGUGAAUUCAUCUCCGGGGGUAGAGCACUGUUUCGGCAAGGGGGUCAUCCCGACUUACCAACCCGAUGCAAACUGCGAAUACCGGAGAAUGUUAUCACGGGAGACACACGGCGGGUGCUAACGUCCGUCGUGAAGAGGGAAACAACCCAGACCGCCAGCUAAGGUCCCAAAGUCAUGGUUAAGUGGGAAACGAUGUGGGAAGGCCCAGACAGCCAGGAUGUUGGCUUAGAAGCAGCCAUCAUUUAAAGAAAGCGUAAUAGCUCACUGGUCGAGUCGGCCUGCGCGGAAGAUGUAACGGGGCUAAACCAUGCACCGAAGCUGCGGCAGCGACACUAUGUGUUGUUGGGUAGGGGAGCGUUCUGUAAGCCUGUGAAGGUGGCCUGUGAGGGUUGCUGGAGGUAUCAGAAGUGCGAAUGCUGACAUAAGUAACGAUAAAGCGGGUGAAAAGCCCGCUCGCCGGAAGACCAAGGGUUCCUGUCCAACGUUAAUCGGGGCAGGGUGAGUCGACCCCUAAGGCGAGGCCGAAAGGCGUAGUCGAUGGGAAACAGGUUAAUAUUCCUGUACUUGGUGUUACUGCGAAGGGGGGACGGAGAAGGCUAUGUUGGCCGGGCGACGGUUGUCCCGGUUUAAGCGUGUAGGCUGGUUUUCCAGGCAAAUCCGGAAAACCAAGGCUGAGGCGUGAUGACGAGGCACUACGGUGCUGAAGUGACAAAUGCCCUGCUUCCAGGAAAAGCCUCUAAGCAUCAGGUAACAUCAAAUCGUACCCCAAACCGACACAGGUGGUCAGGUAGAGAAUACCAAGGCGCUUGAGAGAACUCGGGUGAAGGAACUAGGCAAAAUGGUGCCGUAACUUCGGGAGAAGGCACGCUGAUAUGUAGGUGAAGCGACUUGCUCGUGGAGCUGAAAUCAGUCGAAGAUACCAGCUGGCUGCAACUGUUUAUUAAAAACACAGCACUGUGCAAACACGAAAGUGGACGUAUACGGUGUGACGCCUGCCCGGUGCCGGAAGGUUAAUUGAUGGGGUUAGCGGUAACGCGAAGCUCUUGAUCGAAGCCCCGGUAAACGGCGGCCGUAACUAUAACGGUCCUAAGGUAGCGAAAUUCCUUGUCGGGUAAGUUCCGACCUGCACGAAUGGCGUAAUGAUGGCCAGGCUGUCUCCACCCGAGACUCAGUGAAAUUGAACUCGCUGUGAAGAUGCAGUGUACCCGCGGCAAGACGGAAAGACCCCGUGAACCUUUACUAUAGCUUGACACUGAACAUUGAGCCUUGAUGUGUAGGAUAGGUGGGAGGCUUUGAAGUGUGGACGCCAGUCUGCAUGGAGCCGACCUUGAAAUACCACCCUUUAAUGUUUGAUGUUCUAACGUUGGCCCCUAAUCGGGGUUGCGGACAGUGUCUGGUGGGUAGUUUGACUGGGGCGGUCUCCUCCUAAAGAGUAACGGAGGAGCACGAAGGUUGGCUAAUCCUGGUCGGACAUCAGGAGGUUAGUGCAAUGGCAUAAGCCAGCUUGACUGCGAGCGUGACGGCGCGAGCAGGUGCGAAAGCAGGUCAUAGUGAUCC
rnacentral:rRNA from 1 species